rnacentral:rRNA from 1 species
UCGGUUAUAGCAGCCCGUACCGUAAACCGACACAGGUAGUCGAGGAGAGUAUCCUCAGGCGCUCGAGUGAUCCGUGGUAAAGGAACUAGGCAAAUUGACGCUGUAACUUCGGGAUAAGGCGUACUGCAGUAAUGCAGUCUCAGUAAAAUGGUCCAACCAACUGUUUAACAAAAACACAGGGCCCUGCAAAUCGAAAGAUGACGUAUAGAGCCUGAUACCUGCCCGGUGCUGGAAGGUUAAGGAAGGAUGUCCGGCGCAGGCCAAAGCUUCUGACUGAAGCCCCAGUAAACGGCGGCCGUAACUAUAACGGUCCUAAGGUAGCGAAAUUCCUUGUCGGGUAAGUUCCGACCUGCACGAAUGGUCUAAUGAGUUGGACACUGUCUCUACCACGAGCUCGGUGAAAUUGUAGUAUCGGUGAAGAUGCCGGUUAAUCGCAACAGGACGGAAAGACCCCGUGAACCUUCACUACAACUUAACAUUGAUUUUGAACCACAGAUGUGUAGGAUAGUUGGGAGACUAUGAAGCAGCUUCGCCAGGAGUUGUGGAGUCAACGUUGAAAUACCAACCUUCUGUUGUUUAGAGUCUAAUACCUCACGGUGGACAUUGUUUGGUGGGUAGUUUGACUGGGGUGGUCGCCUCCUAAAAAGUAACGGAGGCUCGCAAAGGUACCCUCAGUACGGUUGGUAAUCGUACGCAGAGCGCAUUAGUAAAAGGGUGCUUGACUGUGAGGCAAACAAGCCGAGCAGGAGCGAAAGCUGGCUAAAGUGAUCCGGUGAUUCUGCAUGGAAGGGUCAUCGCUCAAAGGAUAAAAGGUACUCCCGGGAUAACAGGCUGAUCUCCCCCAAGAGCUCAUAUCGACGGGGAGGUUUGGCACCUCGAUGUCGGUUCGUCACAUCCUGGGGCUGGAGAAGGUCCCAAGGGUUCGGCUGUUCGCCGAUUAAAGUGGCACGUGAACUGGGUUCAGAACGUCGCAAGACAGUUCGGUCCCUAUCUGUUGUGAUCGUUAGUAAAUUGCGAGGACAUGACCUUAGUACGAGAGGACCGGGUCGUACAUACCGCUGGUGUAUCAGUUGUGCCGCCAGGUGCAAUGCUGAGUAGCUAUGUAUGGACAGGAUAAACGCUGAAAGCAUCUAAGCGUGAAACCAACCUCAAGAUGAGUUUACUUUUAAGGGCCGUCGGAGACUACGACGUUGAUAGGCUACAGGUGUAAGGGUGGUAACAUCGAAGCCGAGUAGUACUAAUUGCCCGUAAGCUUUAAUGA